rnacentral:rRNA from 1 species
UAAUACCCUAUAGGUUACAGAUGCUGGAUGCUUCUGUAAUCAAAAGUUCCGGCGCCCUAGGAUGGAUCUGCGGCCGAUUAGGUUGUUGUUGGAGUAAUGGCCCAACAAGCCAGUAAUCGGUACGGGUUGUGGGAGCAAGAGCCCGGAGUUGGAUUCUGAGACACGAAUCCAGGCCCUACGGGGCGCAGCAGGCGCGAAAACUUACCAAUGCGGCCAACCGUGAUAAGGGAACCUCGAGUGCCUGUAAAUGCAGGCUGUUCAGAUGCCUAAAACACAUCUGGAGAAAGGCCGGGGCAAGACCCGGUGCCAGCCCCCGCGGUAAUACCGGCGGCUCGAGUGGUGCCCACUUUUAUUGGGCUUAAAGCGUUCGUAGCUGGGUUGUUAAGUCUCUUGGGGAAAUUUGCCGGCUAACCCGUCAGGCGUCUAAGGGAUACUGGCAAUCUUGGAACCGGGAGAGGUGAGGGUACUUCGGGGUAGGGAGUGAAUCCUGUAUCCUCGAGGACCACCUGUGGCGAAGGCGCCUCACCAGAACGGCUUCGACAGUGAGGGACGAAAGCUGGGGGAGCAAACCGGAUUAGAUACCCGGGUAGUCCCAGCCGUAAACUAUGCGCGUUAGGUGUAU